AAAUCAGCACAUGCCUCCGCUGCUCGCAGCGGGCCUGGCCUCGGCCCCGGGCUCCACGCACGCGAGAGGUGGGCGUCUCGCGGGCCCGUGGCGCGGUUCGGACUCCCCCCACCGCAAAACGACCCCCCGACACGAACCAGGUGGGGUUGGAGCCCGUCUUCCUGUUCUCUGCACGGCCGCGGAUCCUGAGAAAGGAAAAGGGCGUGUGGCGCCGGGACCCGGCCGCACCGGGGAAGUCACUCGCCGGGUCUCCAGCGGCGCAGCCGCGGCCAGCGGGGAGGCUUAGGAGCCGCUGCGGGGCUGAUUCCUUCGCCCCCGGCUGCUGUUCUUGUGCCCCCACCGUCGCCCACCUUCGCGCAGAGCUGCCCGCGCCGGGGGUCGCGCUCCUGCCCGCUGUGGAAGCGCGGCUGCCUGGGGGCCGCGCGCCUUGUGUGCACGCGGGCGGCGCUCACCUCCUUCCUGCCUGCGCCAGCGCUGGUGGAGCCUCGAGGUCCAAACAUAAACCAGAUCGAUGCCCCCUCCCUUUUCCAGGCUGUGACGAACGAUGGCUUCGUGGGCUUGUAAGUCCACGCGCGGCAACCGAGUGUGAACACAUCUGUGCACCCACUUGGGUGGGCGUGGCUGGGCAGGGGACAUGGCCCAGUGAGUGUGUGUGUUGGGGGGUAAGGUCUAUGUUCACGUGUCCAAAGACAGCUUUAAGAAGUAAGCAGCAAGGAAGUAACCAUGAUAGCUCCAGGACACAGAGGCUUCGCCACGGACGCCUCUGAGAACUUCCCGUGUGGCAGCCAGCAGGUCCAUUCCUCUGCUACGUUAACUGCUUUCAGAUUCCAAAACUGACGGAAGGAGAAUGGGCAGAGGGUGGUUGGUGCAGAUGUGAUACCAAUACUAAUUAAUAAGCAUGGUCUACGUCCCCUUCUUCUUCUUCUUUAUUUCAAGUAAGCUGGCAUGUUUGAUCAACACCAGAUUUGCUGCCUGGAAGUUUUUUAUCUUGUUAUUCUGAACAAGGACCCUAAUUCUUCUUACGAAUAAGAGAACCUCUCUGUUGGGUAUACAGUAUUCAGUUGGUCUGAGAAAACACAAACCCCACUCAAGUCUCCAGACUUGUUUACACAGAAAACUGAACCUGUGGCUGGCCUAGAGUCUGAGCCUAUUCUGGGCAUUGUUUAUUGCAAUCUGCCCAGGCCCUCCUGCCCCCACCACAGUCACCACCACACACGAACCUGGAGAAUAGAACCUUUCUUUGGAAAGGGGGGUUGGAAUAGGAUUGAGUGACCAUGGUAUUAGGUCAUGCACACACUGCUGAGGAUGGCCGCACUGGAAUUUGAUAAGAUGAUGGCCAUAAGCUUUUAUUCCCAGGUGGCCUCAUAAAAUGGUGGGGAGAUACUCAGUGUCUCCAGCAAACAGAGAACUCCACAUGUGGUUGCUGUGGCUGCAGCUCUGAUCAUUAUACAGCCUGAGCUUACCCUAGACACUGGGGUUACUCAGCCUGUGGGGUUGUGCUGCCCAGAAAACAAAACAAAACAAAAAACACCACCACCAGGCAGC
rnacentral:lncRNA from 1 species